AGGGCACCAAUCCGAGAUGCCCAGUGACUCAGCAGGAUGAGAAAAAUCUUCAUUGGAGUCCAGUGAAAAUCCAAGUGUCACAGAGAAAAAUCUUUGAGGCGGAUCUCAUUUUGCAAAAAUAAAGUGAUUCAAGCUCUGAUCCUUUGCGAGUGCAGAUAACGUAGUUGUUUCCCAAAUAACUUCUGAGGAUUCCAG